UAAAAACUCUUCUUCUUUCAUGCUUAUGUUGGUCUCGCAAACAAGAUUAUAUUUUUCUAUUUCACAUCACAAAUCAAGUUUCCUAAAUAAAACUAACAAUCAAUAUGAAGUCUAAACUCAACAACAUAAUCAUGGAGGCAAAAACAACAUAAGAGAUGAUUCGCCGGAACCAAGCGUGGAGCUGCAACCGUGAAUUGGUCUGAACGGUGCACACGGAGGAGCGUUGUGACACGGCCGAUGCUGGAUCAGAGGUUGCUCGUGGGGCUGAGAUCGGGCCGUCGGAGCUGUCUUCUCGCGGUCGUGUGCGAUUGAGGGCGGCGCGACCUACCGGCGAGUCUUCAAAGGUAUGGUGAUGAGUGUUUGGUAAAUUUGAAGGUUAGAUGGUCAUGGUGAUGUUUUAAUGGUUUGAUUACUGUAACAAAAAAACAAAACUCAAUAAAAAUGUUAGUGAAGGAUUAUGUACAUGUAAGAAAAAGUGGUUUUUUGAUGGCAAGAUUAUUACUGUAAAACUUGUGAGAAUUGCUACAAUGAGAAAAAUUGGGUGGUGGUGAAAGUUGAUUUUUUGGCUUU